CUCAGAGAGCUGGAGAGAGACAUGGUGGAGCUCAGAGCUGGAGAGAGACGUGGUGGAGCUCAGAGCUGGAGAGAGACGUGGUGGAGCUCAGAGAGCUGGAGAGAGACGUGGUGGAGCUCAGAGAGCUGGUGAGAGACGUGGUGGAGCUCAGAGAGAGACGUGGUGGAGCUCAGAGAGAGACGUGGUGGAGCUCAGAGAGACACGUGGUGGAGCUCAGAGAGCUGGAGAGAGACGUGGUGGAGCUCAGAGAGCUGGAGAGAGACAUGGUGGAGCUCAGAGAGCUGGAGAGAGACAUGGUGAAUGAGUAGGUGUUUCCUAACUUUUGACUGGUACUUUGUGAUCAUACUUUCCAUACCAAUAAAGCCUUUUGAGUUGAAAAGAGAGAGAGAGGGAAACAGAG
ensembl:lncRNA